GCACAUGAAAUAAUUUUGCUCCGUGUGAAAGGUUCUGCUACCAACUGGAGGAAAAGCUAAUUAUAGUGGGGUACAAGCGCAAUAAAGCUUAUAGGAUGGUGGCAAAGAUUGUUGGUGUCUCAGUUACCCAUGACAGACAGAGGACUGAGGAUCAGGAACGGACCCCCCUGUCCCAGGACCCCUCGCAGGUGCUAGGUGGCCUCUCACCUGGCAGGUCUUGCCCAGGCCCAUUUCAUCUCCUAGGAUACAUCCCUGCUGGUUGGCUAGGCACUGAGUGAGCCACCGCACUCCGUCCAGCUGAUAGGCCCUCAACUGGAUCCCUGAGAAAACCACAGCACUGAUUGGAUGUGGGAAUCAAGAACAGUGAUUGGCUGCCCUUUUAUCUCAAAUCAAAGGUUUUGUUUGGGUCUCUACCUAUCAGUAAAUGUGCUCCAGAUGCAACUGCACUUUCUGCACCCUAGACAGUUAUGCUCAUUGCUCCAGUCUGAUGUUUAAAAUAAAACACCAGGUAAAAUAACAUCUGGUAAUCCCCUUAUUUUCCCAAUACAGAGCUACGGUAUUUGUGGUUAAAUGUAUAACUGCAAACAUUCUUUGGUUGUUCCGAAAUAUUUUAAAAUUGAGUAAAGUCAUUGCUACAUUUACCUAAUGUCUAUAUAAACAAUUAGUGUUUUCCAGACAAGAAUUCCGCUACAAAUGUACAUGAAAUAUUGACAAUGACAAACAAGUUUGGUUGCCAGCUACUAGAGUAUUGAACUCAAACGAGUUUAGCCACCAUGGCUCAAGUGAACAGCGUUGACUUGACAGUCAGUGGGUCAAAGGCUAA